AGAAUGGGAUUUAUAGCAUAUAUGCUCUAUGUGCAGCUGAUGAAGCUUUGAGAGAUCAAAAUUGGUUGCCUUCGGAAAAUAAGAAGAAGGAAAGAACGGGUGUUUCAAUUGGUGGGGGAAUCGGAAGCAUCUCAGACAUUUUAAAUGCAUGACUGCUGAUUGCUGAAAAUGAAAUAUGCAGUUAUGGAUCCAUUCUAUAGUUGGAAUAUGAGACUCCAUAUGUGUGUGUAUGUUUAUUCUUGCUUGAAUCUGGUGCUGAAGGUGUGAACAGGUGAGUCCU